rnacentral:rRNA from 1 species
UACGUAGGUGGCAAGCGUUGUCCGGAAUUACUGGGUGUAAAGGGCGUGUAGGCGGGGAGACAAGUCAGAUGUUAAAUACCGUGGCUUAACUGCGGGGGUGCAUCUGAAACUGUUUCUCUUGAGUGUCGGAGAGGAAAGUGGAAUUCCCAGUGUAGCGGUGAAAUGCGUAGAGAUUGGGAGGAACACCAGUGGCGAAGGCGGCUUUCUGGACGAUAACUGACGCUGAGGCGCGAAAGCGUGGGUAGCAAACAGGAUUAGAUACCCUGGUAGUCCCU